AACGAACGCUGGCGGCAUGCCUAACACAUGCAAGUCGAACGAGACCUUCGGGUCUAGUGGCGCACGGGUGCGUAACGCGUGGGAACCUGCCCUUAGGUUCGGAAUAACUCCCCGAAAGGGGUGCUAAUACCGGAUAAUGUCUUCGGACCAAAGAUUUAUCGCCUUUGGAUGGGCCCGCGUUGGAUUAGCUAGUUGGUAGGGUAAAAGCCUACCAAGGCGACGAUCCAUAGCUGGUCUGAGAGGAUGAUCAGCCACACUGGGACUGAGACACGGCCCAGACUCCUACGGGAAGCAGCAGUGGGGAAUAUUGGACAAUGGGCAAAAGCCUGAUCCGGCAAUGCCGCGUGAGUGAUGAAGGCCUUAGGGUUGUAAAGCUCUUUUACCCGGGAUGAUAAUGACAGUACCGGGAGAAUAAGCUCCGGCUAACUCCGUG
rnacentral:rRNA from 1 species